UACGAAGGGGGCUAGCGUUGCUCGGAAUCACUGGGCGUAAAGCGCACGUAGGCGGCUUUCUAAGUCAGGGGUGAAAUCCUGGAGCUCAACUCCAGAACUGCCUUUGAUACUGGAGAGCUCGAGUCCGGAAGAGGUGAGUGGAACUCCGAGUGUAGAGGUGAAAUUCGUAGAUAUUCGGAAGAACACCAGUGGCGAAGGCGGCUCACUGGUCCGGUACUGACGCUGAUGUGCGAAAAGCGUGGGGAGCAAACAGG
rnacentral:rRNA from 1 species